GACGAACGCUGGCGGCGUGCUUAACACAUGCAAGUCGAACGAAGAGCGACGGAAGCUUGCUUCUAUCAAUCUUAGUGGCGAACGGGUGAGUAACGCGUAAUCAACCUGCCCUUCAGAGGGGGACAACAGUUGGAAACGACUGCUAAUACCGCAUACGAUCUAAUCUCGGCAUCGAGGAUGGAUGAAAGGUGGCCUCUACAUGUAAGCUAUCACUGAAGGAGGGGAUUGCGUCUGAUUAGCUAGUUGGAGGGGUAACGGCCCACCAAGGCGAUGAUCAGUAGCCGGUCUGAGAGGAUGAACGGCCACAUUGGGACUGAGACACGGCCCAGACUCCUACGGGAGGCAGCAGUGGGGAAUCUUCCGCAAUGGACGAAAGUCUGACGGAGCAACGCCGCGUGAGUGGUGACGGCCUUCGGGUUGUAAAGCUCUGUUAAUCGGGACGAAAGGCCUUCUUGCGAAUAGUGAGAAGGAUUGACGGUACCGGAAUAGAAAGCCACGGCUAACUACGUG
rnacentral:rRNA from 1 species